rnacentral:rRNA from 1 species
UGGGGAAUAUUGGACAAUGGGCGAAAGCCUGAUCCAGCAAUGCCGCGUGUGUGAAGAAGGCCCUCGGGUUGUAAAGCACUUUUAUCAGGAACGAAAUACCACGGGCUAAUACCUUGUGGGGCUGACGGUACCUGAGGAAUAAGCACCGGCUAACUUCGUGCCAGCAGCCGCGGUAAUACGAAGGGUGCAAGCGUUAAUCGGAAUUACUGGGCGUAAAGGGUGCGUAGGCGGUUGUUUAAGUCUGUCGUGAAAUCCCCGGGCUCAACCUGGGAAUGGCGAUGGAUACUGGGCAGCUAGAGUGUGUCAGAGGAUGGUGGAAUUCCCGGUGUAGCGGUGAAAUGCGUAGAGAUCGGGAGGAACAUCAGUGGCGAAGGCGGCCAUCUGGGACAACACUGACGCUGAAGCACGAAAGCGUGGGGAGCAAACA